rnacentral:rRNA from 1 species
UACAGAGGUCUCAAGCGUUGUUCGGAUUCAUUGGGCGUAAAGGGUGUGUAGGUGGCGCCGUAAGUCAGGUGUGAAAUCUCGGAGCUUAACUCCGAAACUGCAUUCGAUACUGCCGUGCUUGAGGACUGGAGAGGAGACUGGAAUUUACGGUGUAGCGGUGAAAUGCGUAGAUAUCGUAAGGAAGACCAGUGGCGAAGGCGGGUCUCUGGACAGUUCCUGACGCUGAGGCACGAAGGUCAGGGGAGCGAACGGG